rnacentral:tRNA from 1 species
AUUUAUAUAGUUUAAAUAAAAACAUUACAUUUUCACUGUAAAAAUAAUUAAAAAUUUAUAAAUU